rnacentral:rRNA from 1 species
AAUUAUUGGGCGUAAAGGGCUCGCAGGCGGUUUCUUAAGUCUGAUGUGAAAGCCCCCGGCUCAACCGGGGAGGGUCAUUGGAAACUGGGGAACUUGAGUGCAGAAGAGGAGAGUGGAAUUCCACGUGUAGCGGUGAAAUGCGUAGAGAUGUGGAGGAACACCAGUGGCGAAGGCGACUCUCUGGUCUGUAACUGACGCUGAGGAGCGAAAGCGUGGGGAGCGAACAGGAUUAGAUACCCUGGUAGUCCACGCCGUAAACGAUGAGUGCUAAGUGUUAGGGGGUUUCCGCCCCUUAGUGCUGCAGCUAACGCAUUAAGCACUCCGCCUGGGGAGUACGGUCGCAAGACUGAAACUCAAAGGAAUUGACGGGGGCCCGCACAAGCGGUGGAGCAUGUGGUUUAAUUCGAAGCAACGCGAAGAACCUUACCAGGUCUUGACAUCCUCUGACAAUCCUAGAGAUAGGACGUCCCCUUCGGGGGCAGAGUGACAGGUGGUGCAUGGUUGUCGUCAGCUCGUGUCGUGAGAUGUUGGGUUAAGUCCCGCAACGAGCGCAACCCUUGAUCUUAGUUGCCAGCAUUCAGUUGGGCACUCUAAGGUGACUGCCGGUGACAAACCGGAGGAAGGUGGGGAUGACGUCAAAUCAUCAUGCCCCUUAUGACCUGGGCUACACACGUGCUACAAUGGGCAGAACAAAGGGCAGCGAAACCGCGAGGUUAAGCCAAUCCCACAAAUCUGUUCUCAGUUCGGAUCGCAGUCUGCAACUCGACUGCGUGAAGCUGGAAUCGCUAGUAAUCGCGGAUC